AACGAACGCUGGCGGCGUGGCUAAGACAUGCAAGUCGAACGGAAUAGUAAUAUUCAGUGGCGAAAGGAUGAGUAAUGGAUAGGUAACGUACCUUAUGUUCCGGGAUAGCGUCUGAAAGCUUGCUUUCUUCCGAAAGGGGCAGUAAUACCGGAUGAUAUAGUAUCUUGCAGGAGAUAUUAUCAAAGAUUAAUCGACAUAAGAGCGGCCUAUUCCCUAUCAGUUAGUUGGCGAGGUAACGGCUCACCAAGACAAUGACGGGUAGCGGGACUGAGAGGUUGGCCCGCCAUAUCGGGACUGAGACACUGCCCGGACCUCCACGGAGGGCUGCAGUAACGAAUAUUGGGCAAUGGGCGAAAGCCUGACCCAGCGACGCCGCGUGCAGGACGAAGCUCCUCGGAGUGUAAACUGCUGUCAGGGAUAUGUAAGUGCGCUUCGGCGCAUUGAACUACCCCAGAGGAAGUCACGGCUAACUUCGUG
rnacentral:rRNA from 1 species